rnacentral:rRNA from 1 species
UGGCGGCGUGCUUUACACAUGCAAGUCGAGCGAGGCGGAAUGGGGGUAACCCUGUUCCAGUCGAGCGGCGAACGGGUGAGUAACGCGUGGAUACCUACCUCGAGGUGGGGGAUAACCCGGGGAAACUCGGGCUAAUACCGCAUAACAUCUACGGAUCAAAGGGGGCGCAAGCUCCCGCCGUGAGAGGGGUCCGCGUCCGAUUAGCUAGUUGGUAGGGUAAUGGCCUACCAAGGCGACGAUCGGUAGCCGGCCUGAGAGGGUGAUCGGCCACACUGGAACUGAGACACGGUCCAGACUCCUACGGGAGGCAGCAGUGGGGAAUUUUGCGCAAUGGGCGAAAGCCUGACGCAGCAACGCCGCGUGGAGGAUGAAGGUCUUCGGAUUGUAAACUCCUGUCAGUAGGGACGAAGGCUUCUGACCUAAUACGUCAGGAGAUUGACGGUACCUGCAGAGGAAGCCCCGGCUAACUCCGUGCCAGCAGCCGCGGUAAUACAGAGGGGGCAAGCGUUAUUCGGAAUUAUUGGGCGUAAAGGGCGCGUAGGCGGCAUGACAAGUGGAAGGUGAAAUCCCUCGGCUCAACCGAGGAACUGCCCUCCAAACUGUCUUGCUUGAGUCCGGGAGAGGUGAGUGGAAUUCCCAGUGUAGCGGUGAAAUGCGUAGAUAUUGGGAGGAACACCAGUGGCGAAGGCGGCUCACUGGACCGGAACUGACGCUGAGGCG